rnacentral:rRNA from 1 species
CCUACGGGGGGCAGCAGUGGGGAAUUUUCCGCAAUGGGCGAAAGCCUGACGGAGCAAUACCGCGUGAGGGAGGAAGGCUCUUGGGUUGUAAACCUCUUUUCUCAGGGAAGAACACAAUGACGGUACCUGAGGAAUCAGCAUCGGCUAACUCCGUGCCAGCAGCCGCGGUAAUACGGAGGAUGCAAGCGUUAUCCGGAAUGAUUGGGCGUAAAGCGUCCGCAGGUGGCAUUUCAAGUCGAUUGUCAAAAAUCCUGGCUCAACUGGGAAGAGGCAGUGGAAACUGAAAUGCUAGAGUGCGGUAGGGGUAGAGGGAAUUCCCGGUGUAGCGGUGAAAUGCGUAGAGAUCGGGAAGAACACCAGUGGCGAAAGCGCUCUACUAGGCCUGCACUGACACUCAGGGACGAAAGCUAGGGGAGCGAAUGGGAUUAGAUACCCCUGUA